rnacentral:rRNA from 1 species
GAACUUAGCAGAGAUGCUUUGGUGCCUUCGGGAACUCUGAGACAGGUGCUGCAUGGCUGUCGUCAGCUCGUGUUGUGAAAUGUUGGGUUAAGUCCCGCAACGAGCGCAACCCUUUAUCCUUUGUUGCCAGCGGUCCGGCCGGGAACUCAAAGGAGACUGCCAGUGAUAAACUGGAGGAAGGUGGGGAUGACGUCAAGUCAUCAUGGCCCUUACGAGUAGGGCUACACACGUGCUACAAUGGCGCAUACAAAGAGAAGCGACCUCGCGAGAGCAAGCGGACCUCAUAAAGUGCGUCGUAGUCCGGAUUGGAGUCUGCAACUCGACUCCAUGAAGUCGGAAUCGCUAGUAAUCGUGGAUCAGAAUGCCACGGUGAAUACGUUCCCGGGCCUUGUACACACCGCCCGUCACACCAUGGGAGUGGGUUGCAAAAGAAGUAGGUAGCUUAACCUUCGGGAGGGCGCUUACCACUUUGUGAUUCAUGACUGGGGUGAAGUCGUAACAAGGUAGGCGUAGAUGA